UGUCCUACGGGGGGCAGCAGUAGGGAAUCUUCCACAAUGGACGCAAGCCUGAUGCAGCAACGCCGCGUGAGUGAAGAAGGGUUUCGGCUCGUAAAUCUCUGUUGGUAGUGAAGAAAGAUAGAAGGAUUAACUGGCCUUUAUUUGACGGUAAUUACUUAGAAAGUCACGGCUAACUACGUGCCAGCAGCCGCGGUAAUACGUAGGUGGCAAGCGUUGUCCGGAUUUAUUGGGCGUAAAGCGAGUGCAGGCG
rnacentral:rRNA from 1 species